GCCUCAGGUUGGUCAGUGAAAUAUGGAAGGCUUGCUCAACCAAGUCUUCCAAACCUUAUGGCAAUGAGACUUCAGGAAAAAAACCUUUCAAAAAGGCCACAGAGAUUACCAACCAUAUCUGCCAAUGAGACAUUUGACCAAAUGGAAGCAAGGCUGCCAGAGCAGGCUCUGUACUGGCAAGUAAGAAAAUACUGUGUUUCUGGCCACUGACUGUGAAUACAUCUACAAGCUGCUUUUUGGAUGUCUGAUCUGGCUCAUUUAAAGGGCUUUGCAGUAACCAAGUUGAGAACACUCAGACCGGCAUCCAUAAUGCAAUCAUGAACUUGUGGUUUCUAACUCCAGUUCUUCUUGGUUCAUAACAAGAAUGGCCCUUACUCAGUAGCUGCCACACUCUGCCAUAAGUCAAGAUGCCAUACUUCAUGGGAAAAUAUCUCGCUGUUCAUUCCCACCACUGACUUAGACUAUAUAACCCUUCCACUCUUCGCCCAGGGCAUCAGCAGCAAUUUUGGCCCUGUGCUUUUCAUUAUGGACCGAGAAGAGGAGUUUAUCUGUGAGCCUAGAUGCCUCAUUCACCAUUCUCUGGCCACCAAAUAAAUGAGCUGUUCUUGGCACUCAGUAUCUUCUUUGCUUCCUGGCUUUGCAACUCUGAAGCAGAAAGAUCCCUUUGUGGGCAACUGUCCCGUACUAGCGGAAUCUCUCCCCAAGUUUGUGGAGAAGAGAAGCUGGAAGACACAUUCAGUUGUCUAAGCCAGAGAGUGAGCUAUGCUGAGAGAGUUAGAUAGGCAGAGCAGAGAAAAUUAGUGUUUGAUUUUGGAGAUAUGACUGACAGCUCUAAGAUGUCCUUCUGACAUGAAAGAAUGGCUUCCCAGCGGCAGAAGAUCAAGGUCUAUAAGCAAAAGCGACACAUUGGUCAAGGAUUUACCCAAUGACUAAGUGUCCCAGACUCACACACCAGAUGUGUGUAUACCCCAAACUAUGAUAGAUUUCCAAUCUUAUAAUUCCCAUGGAGAAGAAAAUCUGUUUUUUGAGUCUCAGACGCUCUCCCCUUAAGCUUCUUGUUUAGCUGAUUUAUAAAUGUUUGGGUUUUAUUUGCAUCAAAUAAAUUGUUUCCACCAGCGAGUUGAUGAUUCAGGCUGGGUGGGAAGCCCCUUCUGUCUUAAGGCCUUGUUCUUGCUAAUUUACCACGAAGCCUUUAUGGCCUUAGGAAUCCCUUUAUUUAUCUCUUAGUUAACUAUAGUAGUACUAUCUUGAGCCACUAAAAAUGUUGUGUCAAACUGAAAUGAAAGUGUCAUUUUUCAAUGUAACAUGAUUUUAUUGGAUAACUAUGAAUGGAAACCCAGAAACUGUGUAAACUGAUAAAUGUGAAGAGUAGUUACAGGGUGGGAACAUAUACCUCACUUUUCUCAAGGACAAGGAUGUUUUCAAGGAGUUUUUAGGUUAUCAUAGUACCUGGGUGGUGAAAUACAAAGUGGAUAUUAAACAGAAAAAUAAAAGACCUCAUGGUUAGGAAUAAUUAAAAAAUUAAGUAAAAUCAAAUAGCAAAAGGUAGAGUAACUUACAUAAUAUUUUGUCUCCUGCCCCUCUCUUUGCUUUACACUGUAGGUUUUGGGUAAGGUUGUCUUAGCUCUUGGUCAUGAGAGAAUUCCAUCCUACCAUCCACGGUCAAGGGUACAAUAUGUUCUGGUAGGAUUAAGGAGAGUCCUGCCAUACCUUGAAAUUUUGUUAAAGAAACAUUCUUGCCACUGAGACUGUUGGAUAUCGAAGCAUGAAUUCAGUAUUAAAAGCCCAUGUGGUAGAGCAGCCAGCAAAUAUUGGGUGUACAGUUAGACGAAAGGAGCCUAGAUAACAAAACAAACAGCAGGUCAAAGCUCGCAUAUAUGCAGCUUUACUGAUUCAGUCUCUUACAUUAUCCUGUUACCACUUAUGUGACCAUAGAAGUAGCAUCAGAAAGCAGAAUAAGAGAAAGAGAGCCUAAUCUCUGCUUAGGUUAGGUCCAAUCACAACAAAGUUAAAUGUCCAUUUCUUCAUUGUAUUUAUUUAGUUGUAUUAGCCAACUGUUUUGUGAGUUCUAUUUUAAUCUUAAUUAUCUUAAUUAGGUGGAAGAAAUAACACCUUCCAAACACUUGUGAGACUAAUAAUUUAUGGUACUUUGGUAUGUGGGUUAUUGUGAGUGGAAGAAAAUUGAGAAAUGGCAGAUAUAAGUUCAGACAUCUCUUAUUAGCCUAAAAAUAAGAUAACUGUGUUAAGCCAUCCUCUGUGUACCAGGAAGGGUGGUAGUUAAUCACAGGAGACAAUUCUGAAUGAUUACCAGCAUAGGCUGUAGCAGCUAGCUGGAGACUCUCCAUCACAAACCUUACGUCUAGCUCUUCCAUUUAUUUCCCAUAUCUGAAACCUCAUAGUUUGUCACUGACAAGACUGAGAAUUCUUUUCUUCUGCCUUCAAUUACCUACAUUAUUAUUGUACUUGAUAAGACGCUAGAUAAUAUAAGAUCUGGCUAUCUUUCUGAGUUUCACGCAAUUAAGUAAUCUUGUCUAAACAUUCAAUGCAUAUAUUAAUAAAUUUCUGUCUUUUGUCUGCCUAGUUUUCAGGAGCAUACUCAAUGAACUUAUAAUGUAGAGGAAAGUGUUACUUGCUACUGUUCUGUGAUUGUUCUUGCUUUAAUUCUUGCAAAUGCUGUGCUCUAUACUGACCCUGAUAAACACUAUUACAUAAGUUCCCAUUCAUCUUUUUAGAAAAACUUCGAAGCAUUAUCCCGUUACAGGGAAGACAGCUGAAAUCAAAAAAGGUAAUAGCCACCAAAGUUAUCUUGUGAUUAAGCAAGAACCUGGGCUUACACCCGAGAUACAUCCUAAAAGUUUCAACCUUCUUAUACUAUCUUUUUCAAAUCCAAAAUUAUUUCCAUGUCUUUUGCGUAAGGUAUUUUUGAUAAUCUUAAACUGUUACUAACUUCCACAGAUUAAGUCUUCCUGUGUCUCCCAGUUGCUUCUCCAUGCCUAAACUCAAAACAAGUCGUUAGCUGGGUCCAUGCGAAGUACUUAGAACCCAGUCUGUCCUCCUAUUUUGUUCUCUGUUCAGCAUCCAGAAGCUUGUUGACUUCCCUCUUACUAAUUUGUUUUCCAGUGUCAUUCUACUAUUUAUUUUGUUUUACUGCAAGGUCUUCAAGGACAAGAAUUUGGUUUAUUUUUUCUCACUGCAAAAUAUUCAUUGCUUAACAAUGUCUGAUGCUUAGCCAUGUAGUGUUUCCAUUCAUUCUUCCAUUUCUAAAUAUCCCUGUAAACUAAACUGGGCCAAACACUUAGGUCUAGAUGAUGUCUCUCCCUAAACUAUGACUUUAUUAUCCAUUAAUUUAGUUUUUUACAUGGAAAUAUAAUCAAUAUUCAGAUUGAAUAAAUCAAA